rnacentral:rRNA from 1 species
AGGGUUUGAUCCUGGCUCAGGACGAACGCUGGCGGCACGCUUAACACAUGCAAGUCGAACGAGAGAAGAGGAGCUUGCUUUUCUGAUCUAGUGGCGGACGGGUGAGUAACACGUGAGCAAUCUGCCUUUCAGAGGGGGGUACCGAUUGGAAACGAUCGUUAAUACCGCAUAACAUAAUUGAACCGCAUGAUUUGAUUAUCAAAGAUUUAUCGCUGAAAGAUGAGCUCGCGUCUGAUUAGCUAGUUGGUAAGGUAACGGCUUACCAAGGCGACGAUCAGUAGCCGGACUGAGAGGUUGAUAGGCCACAUUGGGACUGAGACACGGCCCAGACUCCUACGGGAGGCAGCAGUGGGGAAUAUUGCACAAUGGAGGAAACUCUGAUGCAGCGAUGCCGCGUGAGGGAAGAAGGUUUUAGGAUUGUAAACCUCUGUCUUCAGGGACGAAAAAAGACGGUACCUGAGGAGGAAGCUCCGGCUAACUACGUGCCAGCAGCCGCGGUAAUACGUAGGGAGCGAGCGUUGUCCGGAAUUACUGGGUGUAAAGGGAGCGUAGGCGGGAUCGCAAGUCAGAUGUGAAAACUAUGGGCUUAACCCAUAAACUGCAUUUGAAACUGUGGUUCUUGAGUGAAGUAGAGGUAAGCGGAAUUCCUAGUGUAGCGGUGAAAUGCGUAGAUAUUAGAGGAACAUCAGUGGCGAAGGCGGCUUACUGGGCUUUAACUGACGCUGAGGCUCGAAAGCGUGGGGAGCAAACAGGAUUAGAUACCCUGGUAGUCCACACCGUAAACGAUGAUUACUAGGUGUGGGGGGACUGACCCCUUCCGUGCCGCAGCAAACGCAAUAAGUAAUCCACCUGGGGAGUACGACCGCAAGGUUGAAACUCAAAGGAAUUGACGGGGGCCCGCACAAGCAGUGGAGUAUGUGGAUUAAUUCGAAGCAACGCGAAGAACCUUACCAGGUCUUGACAUCGUAUGCAUAGCUCAGAGAUGAGUGAAAUCUCUUCGGAGACAUAUAGACAGGUGGUGCAUGGUUGUCGUCAGCUCGUGUCGUGAGAUGUUGGGUUAAGUCCCGCAACGAGCGCAACCCUUACUGUUAGUUGCUACGCAAGAGCACUCUAGCAGGACUGCCGUUGACAAAACGGAGGAAGGUGGGGAUGACGUCAAAUCAUCAUGCCCCUUAUGACCUGGGCCUCACACGUACUACAAUGGCUGUCAACAGAGGGAAGCAAAGCCGCGAGGUGGAGCGAACCCCUAAAAGCAGUCUUAGUUCGGAUUGUAGGCUGCAACCCGCCUACAUGAAGUCGGAAUUGCUAGUAAUCGCAGAUCAGCAUGCUGCGGUGAAUACGUUCCCGGGCCUUGUACACACCGCCCGUCACGCCAUGGGAGUCGGUAACACCCGAAGCCUGUAGUCUAACCGCAAGGAGGACGCAGUCGAAGGUGGGAUUGAUGACUGGGGUGAAGUCGUAACAAGGUA